rnacentral:rRNA from 1 species
AGAGUUCGAUCCUGGCUCAGGAUAAACGCUGGCGGCGUGCUUAACACAUGCAAGUCGAACGAAGUUUUUCUUUCGGGAGGAACUUAGUGGCGGACGGGUGAGUAACGCGUGGGUAACCUGCCCUGUACAGGGGGACAACAGCUGGAAACGGCUGCUAAUACCGCAUAAGCCCUUAGCACUGCAUGGUGCAUAGGGAAAAGGAGCAAUCCGGUACAGGAUGGACCCGCGUCUGAUUAGCCAGUUGGCAGGGUAACGGCCUACCAAAGCGACGAUCAGUAGCCGAUCUGAGAGGAUGUACGGCCACAUUGGGACUGAGACACGGCCCAGACUCCUACGGGAGGCAGCAGUGGGGAAUAUUGCACAAUGGAGGAAACUCUGAUGCAGCGACGCCGCGUGAGUGAAGAAGUAUUUCGGUAUGUAAAGCUCUAUCAGCAGGGAAGAAAAUGACGGUACCUGACUAAGAAGCACCGGCUAAAUACGUGCCAGCAGCCGCGGUAAUACGUAUGGUGCAAGCGUUAUCCGGAUUUACUGGGUGUAAAGGGAGCGUAGGUGGCAAGGCAAGCCAGAAGUGAAAACCCGGGGCUCAACCGCGGGAUUGCUUUUGGAACUGUCAUGCUAGAGUGCAGGAGGGGUGAGCGGAAUUCCUAGUGUAGCGGUGAAAUGCGUAGAUAUUAGGAGGAACACCGGAGGCGAAGGCGGCUCACUGGACUGUAACUGACACUGAGGCUCGAAAGCGUGGGGAGCAAACCGGAUUAGAUACCCUGGUAGUCCACGCGGUAAACGAUGAAUACUAGAUGUCGGGAAGCAUUGCUUCUCGGUGUCGUCGCAAACGCAAUAAGUAUUCCACCUGGGGAGUACGUUCGCCAGAAUGAAACUCAAGGAUUUACGGGGACCCGGAAAGCGGUGGAG